rnacentral:rRNA from 1 species
UUAAAAAGCUCGUAUUGGAUCAGAUACACCGUGAAGUUGGCCAUUGUCUCUGGCCUCGUUGCGCGCGCUCGGAUACCGCCUUCACCAAGCGUUGUCUCUAUAGCGAACGCUCCCGUGAGUAGUCCCUUCAUUGGGAUUGAAAGCGCAUACGCGUUAACCAUACGCAUUCGGGACGUCCGCCAUUGUUACUGUGAACAAACCAGCGUGUCCAAAGCAGGUUCCGCCUGCAUGUUCGAGCAUGGAAUAACAAGGGAUCGAUCCUCUCGGUUCUUUUUGUUGGUUUUUAACCCGAGAAGGAGUAAUUCAGGCCAGGGUGUCUGAGUCGGGUUUCCCUAGACUUCGGUUUAGGCCCCGAUUAGGCCCUGUCCUUACGGGAUCAAUAAGGACUGCCGGGGUCGUAAGUACUUCUACGUCAGA